GAACGAACGCUGGCGGCGUGCCUAACACAUGCAAGUCGAGCGGGAAAGUCCCUUCGGGGGCGAGUAAAGCGGCGGACGGGUGAGUAAUACACGGAUAAUCUUCCCUCGAGCCUGGGAUAACCCUGCGAAAGUGGGGCUAAUACCGGAUAAGACCACAUGACACAUGUCACGGGGUAGAAGGUGGCUUGUAUUUAUAUGAGCUAUCACUUGAGGAUGAGUCCAUGGCCUAUCAGCUAGUUGGUGAGGUAAGAGCUUACCAAGGCUAUGACGGGUAGCUGGUCUGAGAGGACGACUAGCCACACUGGGACUGAGACACGGCCCAGACUCCUACGGGAGGCAGCAGUGGGGAAUAUUGGGCAAUGGGCGAAAGCCUGACCCAGCAACACCGCGUGAAGGACGAAGGCCUUCGGGUUGUAAACUUCUUUUCGAGGGAAAGAGAAAGGACGGUACCCUCGGAAUAAGACCCGGCUAACUACGUGCCAGCAGCCGCGGUAAUACGUAGGGGCCAAGCGUUAUCCGGAUUUACUGGGCGUAAAGCGCAUGUAGGCGGUCGAUCAAGUCGGAUGUGAAAGCUCCUGGCUUAACUGGGAGAGGUCAUUCGAAACUAGUCGGCUGGAGGGUGGUAGAGGAGAGCGGAAUUCCAGGUGUAGCGGUGAAAUGCGUAGAUAUCUGGAGGAACACCAGUGGCGAAAGCGGCUCUCUGGACCAUUCCUGACGCUGAGAUGCGAAAGCCAGGGGAGAGAACGGGAUUAGAAACCCCGGUAUUCCUGGCCGUAAACGAUGUCAACUAGGCGUAGGAGGUUAUAAACCCCUUCUGUGCUGUAGCAAACGCGUUAAGUUGACCGCCUGGGGACUACGGCCGCAAGGCUAAAACUCAAAGGAAUUGACGGGUCCCCGCACAAGCAGCGGAGCGUGUGGAUUAAUUCGAGGCUACGCGAAGAACCUUACCAGGGUUUGACAUGCUAGUGGUAGUGAAGCGAAAGCGGAACGACCCUUCGGGGAGCUAGCACAGGUGCUGCAUGGCUGUCGUCAGCUCGUGUCGUGAGAUGCCAGGUUAAGUCCUGUAACGAGCGCAACCCUCGUCGUUAGUUACAAGUGUCUAACGAGACUGCCCGUGAUAAGCGGGAGGAAGGUGAGGAUGAUGUCAAGUCAGCAUGGCCUUUAUAUCCUGGGCUACACACACGCUACAAUGGCCAGUACAAUGGGUUGCCAAGUCGCGAGACGGAGCCAAUCCCGCAAAGCUGGUCUCAGUUCGGAUUGCAGGCUGCAACUCGCCUGCAUGAAGUCGGAGUUGCUAGUAACCGCGCGUCAGCACAGUGCGGUGAAUACGUUCCCGGGGAU
rnacentral:rRNA from 1 species